UACGGAGGGGGCUAGCGUUGUUCGGAAUUACUGGGCGUAAAGCGCGCGUAGGCGGACCUGCAAGUCGGGGGUGAAAGCCCGAGGCUCAACCUCGGAACUGCCUUCGAUACUGCGGGUCUCGAGUCCGGGAGAGGUGAGUGGAAUUCCUAGUGUAGAGGUGAAAUUCGUAGAUAUUAGGAAGAACACCAGUGGCUAAGGCGGCUCACUGGCCCGGUACUGACGCUGAGGCGCGAAAGCGUGGGGAGCAAACAGG
rnacentral:rRNA from 1 species